UACAGGGGGUGCAAACGUUGCUCGGAAUCAUUGGGCGUAAAGCGCACGUAGGCGGUUCGUUAUGUCGGAUGUGAAAGCCCUUGGCUUAACCGAGGAAGUGCAUCCGAAACUGGCGAGCUAGAGUACGAAAGAGGAUCGCGGAAUUCCCGGUGUAGAGGUGAAACUCGUAGAUAUCGGGAGGAACACCGGUGGCGAAGGCGGCGAUCUGGGUCGAUACUGACGCUGAGGUGCGAAAGCGUGGGGAGCAAACAGG
rnacentral:rRNA from 1 species